ACUUUGAUAUGGAACUGGCAACCACAGGGAGCUCUUCCCACCACUAGACCUGAAUGAAGCAUUGAGGAGCCAUUCUUGGAAGCCAGGGAGGGGAGUGGAAUGGAAAAGACUGCCUGGCAGGAGUUGUAUCUCUAGGUGGAGGGACACAGCCAACCUGCCGGAACCAGCAGAGAAGGGGCCAGGAACAUACUCUGAUCUUACCUCCUCCUUCCUCUCUCCUGCCAGUACCCUUGGACCUAGAAACACAUUUUGUCCACGAAAGCAGUUUCAAGUGAGUGAGUUACACUGAAUGCCCAGAAAGAACAAUGCAACUUCUGGAAAUCCCGUGGUAGCAGCCAAAGUUGUCAAUGAAUCAAGAAUCAACUUCGAGGAAUGUUUUGACAUUGAGCCGAGUUUGCAUCCGAGUCUGAAGUUGGUUUACAAGCAUACUGGAAGUAAAACUCAAUUGGGAGUGAGAAUCCAGGUGAACCGAAGUAAACGUGAACUCUUUGUGAACCACAUACUACUGUACACCCCUCUUCCAAGCCUACAGGCGCCUGAAAAUCUCCCAUAAAUCCAAGCUGCAUUGAAAGGAUUUGCUCCAAGUCUUCUACCAGUAGCUUGCAUCCACAUGCAUCAGACUCAGCUGUCUACUAAAUCUGUAAAGUGUUAUCUGCCUCACCAUGCACAAACUACUGUCCCAAACUGUAUUCAAUCCAGAUGGGAGGCUUUGUCACUUCCUGACUUCCCUUCCAUUGUAAGAAUGAAUAUUUUGAAACCAGGCAACUAGGAAAACCAUACCCCACUAAAUGGGAAGCAUAUACUAUUUAGGGAAAACUUUCUAGUGGUCCCCCAGAAAAUGAAGAAAUUAUGCUCUUCUUGUACCCUGAUUGUACAAAAUGUUCAACUGCCUGGGAUAUGCACCAGAUCACAUUUACAGGAGAAUCUACCAUAGAUGUGUCCAGUGUCAUGCACAAUUCUCAGUGAAACAGCUUAAUCUCCACACCUUUCUGUCUCAGUUAUAAGCAAAUUAGGAUGCAAGUGAGGUCGAUUAUCACAGGAAUACAUAUUAUCCGAUGUUAAAAAAUAAUUUUCAAAUACUGGCACUUCACUAUUAAUAACAACAAUUUACUUGUGACAGCUGAUAAGACACAUUGAUAUUUCAAUCCUGAUUCAGUCAAACCACCACCCCGCCUAUAAGUACCUCCAAUCAGGGAACUUGUCAAUCAUAAGGUGGAAGUUGGUUUAUGUUCUAUUUCCUCCUCAGGGACAGGGCCCAAGUCUUGAUCAUCACUUUAUAUAAACCAGUGCCCAGGCUAUUGAAGGGAUGCGAUAACACUUAUGUAAACCAAGCGAAAGGCACAUAUAUGCCUAGAAUAUCUCUAGAAGGAUCCUCCAAGAAACUGCUAGCAGUGAUUGUCCCUCAGCAGAGAAACUAGCACAUUGAGGUGAGACACUUGCUUUUCACUGUUUUUUUUUACUAAUUAAACUUUUUACCUAGUAUUUUGUAUUUUAUUGGGUACAUUAGAAUAUUUAUUGAAUGAAUCAACACGUAGAUGAAUGAGCAAGCUAUAUCCAGGAACACAAGAGUUGACACCCAAAUAUUUUUGUCUGUACCAACUUAACAGCAGUGGCUUUUUCCAACCCUAAGUUUCAAAUCCUUCUAGUGACUCAUGUCAAGUUGUGUGCCAAGUCAAGAGAGUGCUGACACUCUGACUCAGUGUGUGCAGAAAUUCUUGGCCAAGGAGGAGGCAAAGAACUGUCACAAAGGCUAGACUUUAUUGGUUUAGUUUCGAUUCAUUAAUCAGAAGUGGAAAUGCUCACAGUUUUUCUCAAUAUUAGAUGUUGCUGUAUGUUUUCUGUGAAGAGCAACUGUGGUUACUUCUCAAGAUAGAACUCUAUCCAAGAUCAUGAAAACUGGCAAUUCUUUAGGGGAAAAAAAUCCAUUUAUCUCAUGUCCCUAGGUUUGUGCCUCCUUUCAGCUGCAGAGAGGUGGCUUACUGCAGUGAAUUGAAGUGUGCUAGCUUUGGGAUCAGGCAGAACUUUCUAACUAUCCUUUGUCUCAGAGUUAGCAGUCAUAUAUAAAUUGGAGACAAAGCUACCUACCUGACAAGGCUGCCAUCAGGCUUAAAUUAGCUAAUAUAUUUAAAAUCCCUGUAACAUAGUGCUCAAAAAGUAGUAGCUAUUAUUCUUAUCAUAAAAUAGUCUCACAGCCCUUUUCACCCUUCAAAUUGACUGAGAAUCAACACCAGUCUUUGCUUUAAAGCAAAGCUUUGAGGCUUUAAGGCUUACCUAUGAGGUGCAACUACAUUAUAAGCUUAAGAACAUUUUGCCUCCUCCCAUAAUAAAAAUGUUCUGUGAUAUUUUUGACAUGUUA